UUGCCAGCCGCCGCGGUAAUACGGAGGGUGCAAGCGUUACCCGGAUUCAUUGGGUUUAAAGGGUGCGCAGGCGGAUACUUAAGUCAGUGGUGAAAUCCCGGGGCUCAACCCCGGAACUGCCAUUGAUACUGAAUAUCUGGAAUACGGUUGAAGUGGGCGGAAUGUAGCAUGUAGCGGUGAAAUGCAUAGAGAUGCUACAGAACACCGAUCGCGAAGGCAGCUCACUAAGCCGAUAUUGACGCUCAGGCACGAAAGCGUGGGGAGCGAACAGGAUUAGAUACCCUGGUAGUCCACGCCGUAAACGAUGAUAACUCGUUGUUGGCGACACACAGUCAGCGACUAAGCGAAAGCGAUAAGUUAUCCACCUGGGGAGUACGAUCGCAAGGUUGAAACUCAAAGGAAUAGACGG
rnacentral:rRNA from 1 species